rnacentral:lncRNA from 1 species
AGCUGAUGUAAGAAGGGCUUUAUAAAUACAUUUGAUUUGAUUCUUCCUUACCGUCUGAUACCAGAGGUCUGAUACCAACAGUCUGUUCUCUCCCUUACUGUCUGAUACCAGAGGUCUGAUACCAACAGUCUGUUCUCUCCCUUACUGUCUGAUACCAGAGGUCUGAUACCAGAGGUCUGUUCUCUCCCUUACCGUCUGAUACCAACAGUCUGAUACCAGAGGUCUGUUCUCUCCCUUACCGUCUGAUACCAACAGUCUGUUCUCUCCCUUACCGUCUGAUACCAACAGUCUGUUCUCUCCCUUACCGUCUGAUACCAACAGUCUGUUCUCUCCCUUACCGUC